UUUGACCAGAUAACUGGAAGACGGAUCCUUUUCAAUUAAGUGUUGUUUAGUUAUUUUUAGAUGAAAGAUAAAAACUAGAGUUAACAAAGAACAACACAAGAGAUUUAUACUGGUUCACCCAAACAAGGGCUAGUCCAGUCCCGACCAACUGUCGGAAUUCACUCGCCUAAAGGUUAUGGCAAAACCUUAGAGUAUCAAGGAAACUCUUAAGAACCUCUCUAAGCUUUAAGGCUA
rnacentral:lncRNA from 1 species